UACAGAGGGUGCAAACGUUGUUCGGAAUUACUGGGCGUAAAGCGUGUGUAGGCGGUCCUGUAAGUCGGGUGUGAAAGCCCCGGGCUUAACCUGGGAAUUGCGAUGGAGACUGCAAGGCUUGAAUCUGGCAGAGGGGGGUAGAAUUCCACGUGUAGCAGUGAAAUGCGUAGAGAUGUGGAGGAACACCGAUGGCGAAGGCAGCCCCCUGGGUCAAGAUUGACGCUCAUGCACGAAAGCGUGGGGAGCAAACAGG
rnacentral:rRNA from 1 species